AUUGAACGCUGGCGGCAGGCCUAACACAUGCAAGUCGAGCGGAUGAAGGGAGCUUGCUCCUGGAUUCAGCGGCGGACGGGUGAGUAAUGCCUAGGAAUCUGCCUGGUAGUGGGGGAUAACGUCCGGAAACGGGCGCUAAUACCGCAUACGUCCUGAGGGAGAAAGUGGGGGAUCUUCGGACAUCACGCUAUUAGAUGAGCCUAGGUCGGAUUAGCUAGUUGGUGGGGUAAAGGCCUACCAAGGCGACGAUCCGUAACUGGUCUGAGAGGAUGAUCAGUCACACUGGAACUGAGACACGGUCCAGACUCCUACGGGAGGCAGCAGUGGGGAAUAUUGGACAAUGGGCGAAAGCCUGAUCCAGCCAUGCCGCGUGUGUGAAGAAGGUCUUCGGAUUGUAAAGCACUUUAAUUUGGGAGGAAGGGCAGUAAGUUAAUACCUUGCUGUUUUGACGUUACCAACAGAAUAAGCACCGGCUAACUUCGUG
rnacentral:rRNA from 1 species